UAACUAUUUAAAGGGGGCUGCGUCGGAGAUUUGAUUCAUUCAGAAAAUUAUUCUUAUCUCUUCUUUCUUACACACUCACCCUAUUAUCCAAUUAGUCUCUUCUUUCUCUUGUUAAUACAAGUCCAAAAAUAGUAAGGACAAAUUUGAUUUUUGGAUAAGAGCCUAGGAAGAGAAUUAAAGAAGAUAAGGAGAGAAGAAAGGUAGGGAUAGGAAGGCUAGG
rnacentral:lncRNA from 1 species